CUUAUUAAUCAUUUCACAUGUUAAUCGCAAUAACUAAAUAUAAUUUUAUCAAACAUUUAACAUAAAUUAAUUAUCAUCAACUACCAACUAUCAGCUAUCAAGUAACAACUAUCAAUUAUAUUCAACGGUUAAAUUAAAUAGGACUAAGACAAACUUAUAAUACCACGUAAAGCCCUUUUGAUUCUUUUUAUUUCAAGAAUUACAAACUUAACAGGCAACAUCAAGCACACAACAGAAGAAUUAAGGAACACGAUUAACUCCAACGAUUCAAUUUCUUAGAUCCCACAUGAUUAAUUUAUCAAUAGAGCUUGCAGAUUCAUGGUAAAACUAUCAAUGUACGAUUCUUGCAUGUUUUCGUCGAACAGCACUUUCUUCAACUUAUAGCGAUUGCUCUUAACCACCUGGGCCACCUCACUGCUGUUAUCCAUGACGGAUUUAAUAGCUUUGUUCAAGUUCUCCUUAGAAAUCCACCCGUUUCCUUCUCUUUCCACUUCAACUGCUACGUUAUGUUCUUUCACCAAUAGCAUGGUGUUCACUAUCUGGUCACCCAGAUGUGGUGCCAAAACUAUUUGGCAGUCGCUUUGCAGAGCCUCCCACAUGGAACUAAACCCACAGUGACUCACAAAGCACCCAACAGAUGGGUGUCCCAAUAUCUGUGGCUGUGGAACCCAAUCCCCAUAAACCCAACCUUUUGCUUGAACCCUCUUCUCAAAUCCUUCUGGUAUUGCUUCUUCAAUCGUUGAGCAUCCUUCUGGUGGUGCCAAAGCCACCAAGAAUGGCAGCCCACUUAACUCAAACGCUAAAAGCAGUUCUUGAAACUGAUUCUUUUUCAGUUUGAUUUGGCUUCCGAAGGCACAGAACACCACAGAACCUGCUUCAAAUUUGCUUAGCCACUUGUGCCAUUUCUCCUCAAGCUGUGAUAAGGGAUCUUCAGGCAAGACAGGUCCUGCUAGGAGCACCGGCUUUCCAAACUGUUGUGCCAUGUAGUCAAUGAAAGGACCCUCAAACUCACGGCAAGUCCUUAAGGCAAUCGCGUCACUUUCUUCCUUGCUAGUAACUAGUCGAUCAUACUUUGACAAGCCACUUCCAAAUUCCUCAGCGAGAGAUCUAGCUUGGGCUACCUCAUCUGGUCUCGGUACCACUGUUGAAGAAGGAUAGCCAGGAGGAGUCUGCAUCAUCUCCUCAAAGCUCAUGCCCUUCACUAUCUUCAUGGCCGGCACCAAGCGGAGAGAAUGCCCAGCAGCACACACGGUCGCGUACAUGACGGAUUUGAAGCCUAACUCUCGGCCUAAAGCAGGAAUCCAGUACGCAACGUCGAAGAGCACAAAGUUAGGCUUGAUAACGGCUAAAAUGGCUUUAACUUGGUCUCGAGUUAGAUCAAGGGUCGUGCAAAGCUGAUCAUGAAGUGGAUAGGGAACAUCGGAGCAAGUUUCAGCACCUGGAGGUAGGCCUUCCACAUGGGGAACCACCAAGGGAAAGAAGUGAAUGAGGUUUGGAUGUUGGUUAAGUUGGCUUAACUUUGGCUGUGCUCCUUUGGGCAGUAAGUAGGAGACUUUGUAUCCCUUCUCGGCAAGCUUGUUGGAGAGAUGAAGAAAGGGUAUGAAAUGGCCAAAGCCAAACCAUGGAAACAUCGCUACAUGAUUUGAGUUCUUUGGAUCUGCCAUUUCUAAUUUCUUGCAUACCUUCUCAUUAAGCCCCAUAAAAGUCUAUUUAUCCGGUGGUUUCCAUGAAAAAAUUGUGAAUAAUUGCUCACUCUAUGUGCCGAUCGUCUCCCAAUUAAAUCGCAAAGCAAAGAUGACCACCUGAUUCACCUACUUCGCUUGUCCGGCGUCAGCACAGCCACCGUGGCACUAUCAACUGCCAAGAGUUUUAUCUUUU
rnacentral:misc_RNA from 1 species